rnacentral:tRNA from 1 species
GCUAGAGUGGCAGAACGGUAAUGCGAAGGACUUAGGAUCCUCUUGAGGAGGUUCAAUUCCUCCCUUUAGCU